rnacentral:rRNA from 1 species
GACGAACGCUGGCGGCGCGCCUAACACAUGCAAGUCGAACGAGCGAGAGAGAGCUUGCUUUCUCAAGCGAGUGGCGAACGGGUGAGUAACGCGUGAGGAACCUGCCUCAAAGAGGGGGACAACAGUUGGAAACGACUGCUAAUACCGCAUAAGCACACAGGUCGGCAUCGACCAGAGGGAAAAGGAGCAAUCCGCUUUGAGAUGGCCUCGCGUCCGAUUAGCUAGUUGGUGAGGUAACGGCCCACCAAGGCAACGAUCGGUAGCCGGACUGAGAGGUUGAACGGCCACAUUGGGACUGAGACACGGCGCAGACUCCUACGGGAGGCAGCAGUGGGGAAUAUUGCACAAUGGGGGAAACCCUGAUGUAGCGACGCCGCGUGGAGGAAGAAGGUCUUCGGAUUGUAAACUCCUGUUGUUGAGGAAGAUAAUGACGGUACUCAACAAGGAAGUGACGGCUAACUACGUG